UAUGCUAGUUGCAACAACACAGAACCAAAAACUUACUACCCGAUUAUUAUGUGUAGAUGAGGCUGCAUAGAGAAUCAGGGAGGAUGGCAGGGAAAACUAACACACACAAAUGCAUCGCUUUCCUACAGGCACGUAACACAACAUAUGGCCAAAAGACCUCCCUACACAAUAUCAUUAGAAUCUUAAAAUACUUAAGAAACGUAAAAAGUGUACUGAAUCCAUAGUAACCAAACAUCGCUGAUGUUUUCACAUUCCGUGUUCUCAUAAAGAUUCAACAUUAUAAACAUGAUCAGUUCUCCCCUGAAUCUAAAUAUUUAGAACAAUAAAAAUACCAGCCUAUAAUUAACUAUAUAAAAUUCUAAAUUUCACAUUAUGAUAAGCCAGAAAAAGAAAAUAAGAACAUACAAACAUUUGCUUCUCAUUACAAAGAGAGACACAGCAGAGACACACUAGAAGAGCAGGAAGGCAGCCCGGGAAAGGCCGAGACAUGGCUUAGGAGGUUCAGGAAGACAAGACUGCAAUGCCUCAGACAAUCCUCAAUUUUUACAAAGAGCUUCUAUAAACCCACCCAGGUAAAGUGCUUUUAACUUAAAAGUAUUUUCAAAUAAGACUAUAUAUGACAAAUAACAUAUCACAGAAUAAUCACAAAACUUGUCAAAAAUGCCGUAAAAUAAAGAUGCCCUAAAUCUCUACAAUUUUUAAAAAUAAAUAUACUUCAAGUGUUAUAAUUUGGACAUAAAUACGUAAUAUACUUUGCUAUGUGAAGACCAGAAAUAUGUUACACACAGCUAUUUGUAUCAAAUUUGAUCCAAAAAUAUUAGACUUCAGAAACUUGGGAGUAGAGUACAGGGUAAGCUGAAGAACCAAGUAGCUCAAGAAAGCCCCUUGUUCUCAAGAGUUUGUGUGAUAAACACAGGCACUUGAAAUGUUCUAUAGACCUUGAAAUCUUUGUUUUGAGAAAACAGCCUGCAGUUCCCAUUUCUGCCAAAAGUCUCCUGGCUGAAAGUUGAAUCUGCCUUGUAGCAAGGACCUGGAGAUUCCAAAAGACAGGAGGUAGGUGAAGCCCACAUGGGAGGGGCACAGAGACAGGGUGGAGGAAGUCAGCAACAGCUGCAAACAUUAUUCCGCAGAACCUUGAGAAAAGGCAAAUUCCGGCUUCAAGAAAUACAAUGCAAUUCAAAAGACUGCAACUUCAUACAUAAAAAAGUCCCUCAGAAAGCCAAAUGCUCGGACUGGGUAACAGCACCAGCCACAGGCACCUGCUUUCUUCCAAGAAGGAGCUCUCACCUGUCACUCAAAAGCACCUGCACUGAGAAGUUGGGAGAGCCAGAGAAGACUCCUGCCCUUUCUGAAUUUUACCAAUUAUCUAUUCAAAUGUAUUUACUCAUAAGUGGGUACUCAAAUGGAAAUGAAAUGUAACUCAUAUGGAAAAUUCAUCCCUAACCUGUAUUCAACAGGAAAAGUAAUAUAUUCUGAAUGGUAUCGCUUUUUUUUUUUUUUGAGACAGAGUUUCACUCUUG
rnacentral:lncRNA from 1 species